rfam:Mus musculus chromosome 18, GRC primary reference assembly.
GGGGAAUGAAGAGGGGGCCAACCCCAGGCCCUGAAACAAUGUUAUGGGGCA